rnacentral:rRNA from 1 species
GAUGAACGCUAGCGGCAGGCCUAAUACAUGCAAGUCGAACGGAUAUAUGUUUUUCGGAAUAUAUAUUAGUGGCGCACGGGUGAGUAACACGUACAUAACUUGCCCUCAAGCGGGGGAUAGCCUUGGGAAACUGAGAGUAAUACCCCAUAGAAUUAUUGGACGGCAUCGUUUGAUAAUUAAAACUACGGUGUUUGGGGAUAGAUGUGCGUCUGAUUAGCUAGUUGGUGAGGUAACUGCUCACCAAGGCGACGAUCAGUAGGGGGCGUGAGAGCGUGGCCCCCCACACGGGUACUGAGACACGGACCCGACUCCUACGGGAGGCAGCAGUAAGGAAUAUUGGUCAAUGGAGGGAACUCUGAACCAGCCAUGCCGCGUGAAGGAUGACGGCCCUCUGGGUUGUAAACUUCUUUUGGAUGGGGCGAAAAAACGGGAUUUAUCCUGGACUGACGGUACCAUCAGAAUAAGCACCGGCUAACUCCGUG